GUGAGUGCUGGGGAGAAUGGGAAAUGAGGGGUGGAAGCUGCAACCGUGGGGCUAUAGGCUCAAGCUGGGCUUGCGAUGCUUUCUCUGUAGAGCAUCCUCCUCUCGGCCCCUAUCACUUUCUACUCUACCUUCUACUCAG
rnacentral:miRNA from 1 species